UCCUGUCCUUCCCUGGGUGUGCCACUUGUCUCUUCCACUGUGCUACCUGGAUCCCUCAUCCCCCACAACACCAGGAAGAGGUUCCUGUUCCUUGCUCGUGGUUCCCCGUCCCUAUACCUGGUCCUCAAUAAAGACCUUAUUGAUUUUUA